UCCUCAGUAGCUCAGUGGUAGAGCGGUCGACUGUUAAUCGACUGGUCGCAAGUUCGAAUCUUGCCUGGGGAG
rnacentral:tRNA from 1 species